UUCUCUCUCCCAAUAAGAAUCGGUCUUUGGCAUUCACAGCGUCGAUUUUGUGCCAGCAAAGAGCCUAAAAAGCUGGUCUUUUUAACGCCUCCUUCCUCCAGUUCUCAGACAGGGAGGAAACGUGCGCGAGGUGCCAGUGGCGAAGAACUGCUGAUCCUAUAAGCAUAUCGGAUUGUCCAAGUGUUGUUGAUUUAGUGUCGAUGGGUAGAGGCAGAGGAAAAGGGAAGAAAUUGACUGUAUCCACUUCUCAUGAGGAUCCAGGGGGGUAUGAUGGUGAAGAGGUGCUCACUGCAUUUAGAAGAGGAAAGACCCUGAAACCUUUGAAGGAGGACAUUGAUGAAGAUGAUGCUGAAAAAAUUGGUGGAGAAGAUGAUAUGAAACUUAGCGCACCAAAGGAAGAGGUUGAGGGACCAACAGUAGUGGUU